CAGUAUGUCUCGAGAUGCCUCUGUAUUUCAAGAUGAGAGCAAUAUGUCUGUCUUGGAUAUUCCCACUGCCACUCCAGAAAAGCAGGUAACACAGAUGCGCCAGGGCCGAGGUAGGCUGGGCGAGGAAGACUCUGAUGUAGAUAUUGAAGGGUAUGAUGAUGAGGAGGAUGGGAAACCUAAGACUCCAGCCCCAGAAGGUGAAGAUGGAGAUGGUGAUCUUGCAGAUGAAGAGGAAGGAACUGUACAACAGCCUCAAGCCAGUGUCCUGUAUGAGGAUUUGCUUAUGUCUGAAGGAGAAGAUGAUGAGGAAGAUGCUGGGAGUGAUGAAGAAGGAGACAAUCCUUUCUCUGCUAUCCAGCUGAGUGAAAGUGGAAGUGACUCUGAUGUAGGAUCUGGUGGAAUAAGACCCAAACAACCCCGCAUGCUUCAGGAGAACACAAGGAUGGACAUGGAAAAUGAAGAAAGCAUGAUGUCCUAUGAGGGAGACGGUGGGGAGGCUUCCCAUGGUUUGGAGGAUAGCAACAUCAGAUGGAGUCUCCCUCUGUUGCCCAGGCUGGAGUGCAGUGGUGUGAUCUCGGCUCACUGCAACCUCCACCUCCCAGGUUCAAGCGAUUUUCCUGCUUCAGCCUCCUGAGUAACUGGGAUUACAGGCACGCAUCACCACACUGGGCUGAUUUUUGUAGGCUGGAGUGCAGUGGUAUGAUCUCAGCUCACUGCAACCUCCGCUUCCUGUGUUCAAGUGAUUCUUGUGCCUCAGCCUCCUCA
rnacentral:sRNA from 1 species